rnacentral:rRNA from 1 species
AUUGAACGCUGGCGGCAGGCCUAACACAUGCAAGUCGAGCGAGCGGCGGACGGGUGCGUAAUGUAUGGGGACUGCCCGAUAGAGGGGGAUAACUACUGGAAACGGUGGCUAAUACCGCAUACUAUCGGAUAACCCAUAUGGGAUUAGCUAGUAGGUGGGGUAAAGGCUCACCUAGGCGACGCUCUCUAGCUGGUCUGAGAGGAUGAUCAGCCACACUGGGAAUGAGACAGGGCCCAGAUGCCUACGGAGGCAGCAGUGGGGAAUAUUGCACAAGGGGCGCAAGCCGGAUGCAGACAGGCCGCGGGGAUGAAGAAGGCCUUAGGGUUGUAAAGUACGUUCAGCGGGGAGGCGUUACCCGCAGAAGAAGCACCGGCUAACUCCGUGCCAGCAGCCGCGGUAAUAC